ACAAAACCGAGAACUUUUACAGCUCUUGUCAGAGGGAGACAUGACUGGAUAAAUGGUCAGAGACAUGAGUGUUGCUAGGUUUGAAAAAGGCUGAUGGAAAUAAGGAACCUGGGCAGCCUCUAGAAGCUGGAAAAAGCAAGGAAACUGAUUGUCUUCGAGCCUCCAGAACGGAAUACAGCCUUACGGAUGCUUGGAUUUUAGCCUGUGAGACCCACGUCAGACUCCUAACUACAAAACUGUAAGAGGACUCUGCCAUUACCAGACCAGCUCUUUGGGACUUCUGUUAUACAGAUUGCUUGGACAAAUGGUAGGCUCCACAGGGAAAUAGAAGAAACUUCUGUAGGAGAUCUUGGAGCAUCUGUAGAGUUCCCAUCUUAUACUGACUGUAGCACUGGGAACAAGAAGGAUGUAGAAUGGAAGUGGUGUCACAUUUGCCCUUGCCCCAGUAGCAACUACAUUUCUUAGCUGACGAGACAGAGUUUCUUUCCUGAUCAUCUGAUGAACUGUUUUGAUUCUGGGCUUUCACAAC